rnacentral:tRNA from 1 species
GGGGAAAUAGCUCAGUUGGUUAGAGUGGUGUUUCGCUGGUACGGAGACUCUGAAAACAUGUAAAGUAAGGGCAGUCAUAGCAAACGCAGGUCGCCGGUUCGAAUCCGGCUUUCUCCA